CUACGGGGUGCUGCAGUGAGGAAUUUUGCGCAAUGGGGGAAACCCUGACGCAGCAACGCCGCGUGAGCGAAGAAGGCCCUCGGGUCGUAAAGCUCUGUCAAGUGGGAAAAAAAUUUUUUGAUCAAUAGUCAAAAGACUUGAUGGUACCACUGGAGGAAGCACCGGCUAACUCCGUGCCAGCAGCCGCGGUAAUACGGAGGGUGCAAGCGUUGUUCGGAUUUACUGGGCGCAAAGAGCGUGUAGGCGGUUUAGCAAGUCAGAUGUGAAAGCCCUGGGCUCAACCCGGGAAGUGCAUUUGAACUGCUUCACUAGAGUAUGGGAGAGGAGAUUGGAAUUCCUGGUGUAGAGGUGAAAUUCGUAGAUAUCAGGAGGAACACCCGUGGCGAAGGCGAUUCUCUGGACCAAUACUGACGCUGAGACGCGAAAGCGUGGGGAGCAAACAGGAUUAGAUACCCCUGUAGUC
rnacentral:rRNA from 1 species